rnacentral:rRNA from 1 species
UAGUCCACGCCGUAAACGAUGAAUACUAGGUGUGGGGGUUUCGAUACCUCCGUGCCGCCGCUAACGCAUUAAGUAUUCCGCCUGGGGAGUACGGUCGCAAGAUUAAAACUCAAAGGAAUUGACGGGGGCCCGCACAAGCGGUGGAGUAUGUGGUUUAAUUCGAAGCAACGCGCAGAACCUUACCUACCCUUAACAUUUCACGACGUAUACAGAGAUGUAUAUUCCUCUUCGGAGACGUGAGGAUAGGUGCUGCAUGGCUGUCGUCAGCUCGUGUCGUAAGAUGUCUGGUUAAGUCCAAUAACGAGCGCAACCCUUAUCCUUAGUUACCAGCAUUAAGUUGGGGACUCUAGGGAGACUGCCGGUGUUAAACCGGAGGAAGGCGGGGAUGACGUCAAGCCAGCAUGCCCCUUAUGCUCUGGGCUACACACGUGCUACAAUGGCCGUGACAAAGAGUUGCUACUUUGUGAAAACAAGCUAAUCUCAUAAACGCGGCCUCAGUUCGGAUUGCAGGCUGAAACUCG